CUUCAGCUGACGAGUCCCAAAUAAGACGAAAUGCGUCAAACUGGAU
rnacentral:hammerhead_ribozyme from 1 species